ensembl:lncRNA
AGGUAGCCUAGUGGUUAGAGUGUAUGUAGAGGCGGCAGGUAGCCUAGUGGUUAGAGUGUAGAGGUGGCAGGUAGCCUAGUGGUUAGAGUGUAGAGGAGGUAGGGUAGCCUAGUGGUUAGAGUGUAGAGGAGGUAGGGUAGCCUAGUGGUUAGAGUGUAGAGGAGGUAGGGUAGCCUAGUGGUUAGAGUGUAGAGGAGGUAGGGUAGCCUAGUGGUUAGAGUGUAGAGGAGGUAGGGUAGCCUAGUGGUUAGAGUGUAGAGGCGGCAGGUAGCCUAGUGGUUAGAGUGUAGAGGCGGCAGGUAGCCUAGUGGUUAGAGUGUAGAGGCGGCAGGGUAGCCUAGUGGUUAGAGUGUAGA